rnacentral:ncRNA from 1 species
AUGAAGACUCUAUGGAGCUUUAGUUAAUCCCCCCAAAGAAAAAUAAUGACUGAACUUUAAUGACAUAGCUUUUAAUGGAUUUAUGAUUUUGGUGGGGGUGACCUUGAAGAAUAAAAAAACCUCUGAGUGACUGAAACUUAGACCAGCUAAUCAAAAUGCUUUAUCACCUAUGGAUCUAGAACACUGAACAAGCUAUCUCAAGGAUAAAAGCAGAACCCUGUUCUAGAGUUCACACUGAUAAUAGGGUUUCUGAAGUUGAUGCUGGAUCAGGACAUCCCAAUGCUGUUAAUGGUUUGUUUGUUCAACAAUUAAAGUCCCAUGUGGUCUCAGUUCAGACUGGAGCAAUCCCAGUUGGUUUCUAU